rnacentral:tRNA from 1 species
CCGAGUGUAGCUCACAUGUCAGUUGGUAGAGCGAUUGACUGUAGUGUUCUAUACUGUGUCUCAGUAUACUUGGAAAUCAAUUGGUCGCUGGUUCGAUUCCGGCCACUCGGA